UGCAGCUGCGGACGCACUACUGGACUUUUAACUGUUUGACACAGAAAAGACUCGGAGAAACAAAGACAUGACAUGUUGGUGCAGGAGGGAAUGAAAAGAGAAGAGAGAGAGCAUGGCUGGGAGAAGCAGGAACAGGAGACUGACUGCUGGGUAUGAAUGAAUGAUUGUGGAUCCACUUUAGGAACUUGAGGUCAUCCAGGCACCAGUCUGCAGUAACAACAUCUCCAUCCGCAUAUCUACAGCAAACGUUGUCCUCCAGAGCUGUGGAGUGUGACAAUGGUGUUUGUGUCCUGUGUAUCAAACGCCAUUAUCACACUAAAUAGCUCCAGUGUGAAAAGGACCUCAGUGUAUUCCUCCGUUUCCUCUACUUCCUUUCGUCGCCUGUUUGUCUCGUGGCUCGUGUGUAAUCAUUAUUAAACAUUUUCUUUGUGCAGAUUUAAAACAGUUUCCUUGCACAUACUGCAAAGCCUGAAAAUGUGCGCCCAUGUGUCGAUGGCAGCUAUAACAUGGGGACACAUUACACCAGGCACGGGGGGGACAUGGAUGGAAAUAGACAUGGUGUGUUGAUACAUCGUACAUGAUCUCGAGCCGCUGAGUGUGACCUACAUUCUUGUGCGUUUGAGGUGCUAAUUUGCGGCUGGAGACCUUCUUCGAUAAGUAUAGACAGGAAUAGAUGUCGCAUUUGUUUUCAUGCUCCCGCCAUUUUGUUUCAUUGUCGUCGUUCAAGCUUUGUCAACAUGUACGCAGGCCAUUUAAUUUAAAUGACUGCGAUGCAGAAUUUCAUGCCUGUACAACUGUUUCCAUCCAUCCAAACUGUGUAAAUAAACAGUGUUUGUUUUUUGUCCUUUG